rnacentral:rRNA from 1 species
CCUACGGGCGGCAGCAGUGAGGAAUAUUGGUCAAUGGCCGCAAGCCUGAACCAGCCAAGUCGCGUGAGGGAUGACGGUUCUAUGGUUUGUAAACCUCUUUUGUCAGGGAACAAAGGGCGCGACGCGUGCCGUUUUGCGAGUACCUUAAGAAUAAGGAUCGGCUAACUCCGUGCCAGCAGCCGCGGUAAUACGGAGGAUGCGAGCGUUAUCCGGAUUUAUUGGGUUUAAAGGGUGCGCAGGCGGAAUGUAAAGUCAGCGGUAAAAUUUCGGGGCUCAACCCCGUCGUGGCGUUGAAACUGGCGGUCUUGAGUGAGCGAGAAGUAUGCGGAAUGCGUGGUGUAGCGGUGAAAUGCAUAGAUAUCACGCAGAACUCCGAUUGCGAAGGCAGCAUACCGGCGCUCAACUGACGCUCAUGCACGAAAGCGUGGGUAUCGAACAGGAUUAGAUACCCGUGUAGUC